rnacentral:rRNA from 1 species
AUGGUACCGCUUUGCCCCGAAGGCUUGCCCACACAGUGUGUCCAAGCUGCUCGCCAUGCCAGACUAAGAUACCAUCAAGCUGAAGCCGGUGACAUUGGCGAAGGAGGUGGCGAUGGAGGCACUCGAGAGGGCGAGCUCGCCGAGAUGGCCGACAAACAUGACCGAUAUCAUCUGCACGACGUUCUGCAGCAGGCAUCCGGCGAUGAGGGGCCCGGCGAGGUACAGCUGCUUCUUCACCUCAAUCACCACCAAGCUCUCCUUUGGCCCUCCUGUCUCCUCACUGUCGCUCUUGCCCCCAACAAGAGGCUCCUCCAUGGCUGGCAACGUGCUAGAAAUCUCACGUUCUGGUUCUGA